GACGUAGGAGGCGAGCGUUGUCCGGAUUCAUUGGGCGUAAAGAGCGCGCAGGCGGCUUGGUAAGUCGGAUGUGAAAUCCCGAGGCUCAACCUCGGGUCUGCAUCCGAUACUGCCCGGCUAGAGGUAGGUAGGGGAGAUCGGAAUUCCUGGUGUAGCGGUGAAAUGCGUAGAUAUCGGGAGGAACACCAGUGGCGAAGGCGACUUCCUGGCCUGUUCUUGACGCUGAGGCGCGAAAGCUAGGGUAGCAAACGGG
rnacentral:rRNA from 1 species